rnacentral:rRNA from 1 species
UACAGAGGGUGCAAGCGUUAAUCGGAAUUACUGGGCGUAAAGCGUGCGCAGACGGUUGCGUAAGUCAGAUGUGAAAGCCCCGGGCUCAACCUGGGAACUGCAUUUGUGACUGCAUCGCUGGAGUGCGGCAGAGGGGGAUGGAAUUCCGCGUGUAGCAGUGAAAUGCGUAGAUAUGACCCGGAACACCGAUUGCGAAGGCAGCCUACUAAGCAAGUAUUGACGCUGAGGCACGAAAGCGUGGGGAUCAAACAGG